rnacentral:miRNA from 1 species
UUAAUAAUUCGAUUCGAAGUUA